AGAGAUUCCAAAUUCCGUUUGAUUCUGGUAGAGAGCAGAAUUCACAGAUUGGCUAGAUAUUACAAAACAAAGAAAGUUUUGCCACCAAACUGGAAAUAUGAGUCUGCCACUGCCGCUGCUAUGGUUCAGUAAUGUAAUAUAAUAAAUCUGAGACAGUC
rnacentral:misc_RNA from 1 species